UUUAUACCCCAAACAGAAGGAGGCCUGGCCGGAGGCGCUCGGGGAAACGAAGCAGCCUGUUGCUGAAUAGAAACACCUGUUUGAAAAUAUUUCAAAAUAUUAAUUGAUUAUCGUUUACGACAGAGGAGUUCGUACUGCACACACACCAUGGGAGUGCUCGUGGCAAGAAAAUGGUAUUAAAACCAUGGUGUGUCUUCUGCACGUGGACUGUUCUCUGCAGGAGCUGCCAGGAUGCCAGUGGGAGGAAUAGGUGCCAGGAACCAGCGGGCUCACAUCUCUGGUCUCGGCGCUGUCAUUCCCUGGCUGGUGCUUGGCGGGGGGGCUUUCUUCUCUCUUCCGGACGCCUCGCUCCAGAGCGUCUGAUCUGUAGAGGGAGGAGUGGAGCGUGGCCGUCUCCUAAGACCCUCCCAGCCUGAGGGGAGGCUUGUGCAAAAUCCGUUCUCUUCUCAGAAGUGAUAACACAGUGUCCUAGGGCCGGAGGCUUUGGGGAAGGGUUUAUACCGUGUGUGUGUGUCAAUAUGCGAGCCUUUGUCUGGAACUUUUGCGUUUAUUCAUUGACCAGACUUAGAGCUACUGAGUGCAGUUUCCUGGGGACUUGAGGCUACGACGAUGAAGAAACAGUUUCUGCCUUUAAGGCACUGAGAGUUUGCAGCACUUCUUACUUUGUGACAUGUGUACUUUUUUUAGUAUAAGGAGCCAGGAGGCACAGAGGGUUAAGUAGUUGGUUAGAACUGCCUGUUUUCCGGUUGAGUGAGGUGGGUGCCAUGGCGUUUGCAGGUCUAGGAACAGGGCUAAUGGGAGGACCGGGUGAGUGUGCGGGCGCUGUGUUGGACCUUCUCAGAAACAGCUCUGCCAAGGUUGUGAAGGGGUGGGCUGGAAACAGGUGGCCUCGGGUUCCGGGAGACUCCAGUGGAAUAAGGGACACUCUUCCGUGCUCUCCCGCUGCCCCUGAAUCUUGACUUAGCUCUGGCUUUCCCACCUGGUGGCAGAUGAGUUAAAGAUGGAGUGAUUCUUCAGUCGCCUUUGACAUUUUGGCAACACCUUCCAAGUCUGGGAGAGCGUCAGAUUGUGCUCAGUUUGUGACCUUGCCGGAAGGGUUACCCUCUGGGGUCAGAGGUGGGGCCUGGGCUGCAGCACCUCACCAGGGAGCCCUGGGAGGACUUGAGCCUCCUAGAUGCUGGCUCCAGGCUCCCAUCUGCAGAGGACCAGGGAAGGGAAGCAGGCCAGGGAAGGGGGUUGAUGCCUGGGGCUAUAGUCCUUCCAGGGAGGGUGUUCUGAUGCCCAGGAAGUUGCAGUGAGGAAGGAAGAACGGGUGGGAAGCUGGCCAGUAGACAGCGCCGUCUCUGUACCGUCUCCGUGCCCUGGUCGACGGCAGCUGUUGUCCACUGAGCAUGUGGGGCCAGGCCCUCCGUCGGGUACUUGAUAGGGCUGUUCUUGUUUGACUUUGGCUAAGCCUUGCCCGGAGGGUAGUUCAUUUUAUAGCUGAAGAACUGAGACUCAGAGAGGUUUAAAAAUGUGCCCAGGUUGCAGCUUUGUUGCAGUAAGACAACCAGACCCCCAUGUUGAGUCAGGGCAGGAACUUGCAGAACAGACCCAGCAAGCAGACACCAAAGGAGCAGAACAGAAGUGCAAGUCCACGGAAAAGAGAAUUUAGGGAGGCACAGGGGCUCCAGCACCCCUCCGGCCCUGCUUGGGCAUGCACCUGGGAGCUCUCAGAAGACUCCAGGGCCUGACGCAGCCCAGGGGAGCCCAUUGAGGCCAGGAAAGCUGGACUCUGCCCAGCUCCCAGGACAGGAGAUAUCUUGGCUGGGUUUACCGGGCCCAGCUAAGGUCCUCUGAUCUUUUGAGACUCUUCAAGGGAAGGUGCAGAACCUCCUCGCAGGGCCACCUGUGUCCAUUCUCCUGGGAGCGCUGGGGGUUAUGGGGUUUAUGGGCCCCAAAGCCCUUGCAGAUGACGGGUGGUCGUGCAGCAGGGCUCAUGCUCCCAGGCCCCUCACGUGACCUGCUCUCUCCGUCUGCCUCGGGGGAGCCGGGCUGCCUGGGGGGCGAGCCUGACCGGAGAGGACGCCUGGGCAGGAGGCACCUGUGCGGAAUGCUCCGGCUGCCGGGCGGCUGCUGGACACCGGAGUGCUCCUCUGCGCGGCUGGAUGUGGCAUCCGCCUUCGUCCUGGGGGCGACUGGUGGUCCACGUGGAGUCUGGUGGGCACAGAGGGGUGCUGGGAGGGGGUUACGGUGCGAGUCCCUCCAGGCGGAACUCCCCUCUUGGGGUCUGCGGAGAGUAAGUUGUCCACGUUCGUCCUGGGCCUGGCUCGGGCUCCGGCUCCGUGAGAAUGCUGCUGCUCCUGGGGCUCAAGACGUUGCACAAAGUGCCUUCGUGUCUCCGGGACCCGGUGCCACGGCUGGGUUCUGGGGAGCAGGGCAGAUACUAAAGAGUGCCCCCGGGAGCGGGCAGGGCCAGCUCGUUCUGAGGAAGGCCCCACGCAGCCUUGUUCCGAGCAGGCGUGGCCCUUGACAGCUGUCCCUUCAGAUGAGAUGGUCUGGCCUGAGAGGGCUGGGGCCUGGGGGCUCUGUGCCGCCCACCCAGGCCCCAGGAGGACUGAGAGCUGAAGGCCCUCGGCCGCAGCCCGCCCCGGGAGGCCCCCCCGGCCACGUGUCCCACGCCCAGAGGCUUCCAGGCCACUGUACUUUUGUACCGUUGCCCUGCCUGGCUGACCUGACGUGGGGGGUCAGCUCGGUGCAGACCGCUGUGGGGCGAAAGUGGGAGGGUGCAGGUUGACAGGGCAGCUGUGCCUGGUGGUGAGGGCCAGUGGUGGCUGCACGACUGCAGCUCUUGUUCUUGGGCUCGGGAUAUUGGGCCCAGUUCUGAAGGUGACAGGUGGAGGCAGCUGUUCCUGGAAGGACCAAGGCUGCCUUGGAGCGGCCGGCCAGUGCGAGGCCCCUGUCGACUGGCACCCCGGGUCGUUCUUGGGGACGUCCUCCAGGUGGAGGCGCAGAGCUGCUUGCAGCAGUCCCUGGAGGGACAGAAGAGGGAGGUCUGGCCGGGCUUGGACUGGGGGCUGCUGUCUGCCCCGAAUCCGGGAGCCGGGGACCCUGCGGGGAGCCAGGUCAGGUCUGUGCGUUUCCUUUUGGCCCUGCCUCUGGCCUGGGCCCGUGCGGGAGCCCGCUCCAGUGCUUCAUCCACAGGGCGACGGCGCUGCCUUCCCGGCGGACCUUUGUGGGGCUGAGUCCGUCAGGCUCUGGGUCUGGUGAUGCCCCCGCCUCCGGGCAGAAGGACCUACUUGCGUGUCUGUCAGAAGCGUGGCGUUUUCACAUCACGGGCACAUGGCCGUGUGUCUCCUUGCCUUUGACGUGGUCCCUUGACAAACGUCUUAGAGUCUGCUGUGUGUCCGCCUCCUGUUAGUGACCCCUGAAGACCUCGGGGGCUCUAAGCAGGCCGGCAGGGAGCCUUUGCCUAAAGUAGUCUCUGUUCAAUGUGGAGACCUGGAACUGAGUUGGCCGAGUUCAGACCCAGGGCUGGAGUCAGGAACAGAGGGAACAGAUCCGUGUAAAUGGGUCCCAGGCUCCACGCGCUUCCUGGUGUGCUCUUGUUGCAGCGGCUCUCCGUGCCCCGAGCCUGCUCUGCAGAGCGGAGAGGCCUGGCUGCCUACCCGCGUGGGCUUCCCAGCGUCCGGGUGCAGGCGUCUCCAUGAGGAGCCACUUGGGGCCUCCCUUGGAGGUUGCGGAACUUGAAGCUAAUUUGCCUUGUACGUGUAAAGUGCAUUUUCCUGAUCCAAACAAGCUUCAUUGCUUUCAGCUGACUGUAACCCCAGAUGAGGGUUACUACCAGGGUGGAAAGUUUCAGUUUGAAACUGAAGUUCCUGAUGCGUACAACAUGGUGCCCCCCAAAGUGAAAUGCCUGACCAGGAUCUGGCACCCCAACAUCACAGAGACAGGUGAAAUAUGUCUCAGUCUGCUGCGAGAACAUUCGAUCGACGGCACCGGCUGGGCUCCCACGCGGACGCUGAAGUUCCUUCCGCAGAAAUCUGACCUCCACAGUACGCUGACUGACCGCUUCGUCUCUGAGCCCUUCCUCACCUGUCCCCCAGGCACGUCGCAGCCACUCCUAGAGGACACGUGUCCAGAGAGCCAUGCCUGGGUCACGGUGGCCCAGCAGGAUGUUGUUUGGGGAUUAAACUCAUUGUUCACUGUAAGUACGCUGAUCACAAUCUCAGGUUUUCCUGGUUCCUCUGAGGCCACGUUUCAGUGUCGCAUUAAGGAUGGCGCGAGGGAACUAAGAGCAGACCACAUACAUGCCCAGCUCCUCCUCUUCUUUUUGGCUCUCUAGGGCUGCGUCCUCGGCACAUGGACGAUCCCAGGCUAGGGGCUGAAUCAGAACGACAGCUGCCGGCCUACACCACAGCCACAGCCACCUGGGAUCCUUAACCUACUGAGCAAGGCCAGAGAUCGAACCCACAUCCUCAUGGAUACUAUGUCAGGUUCUUAACCUGUUGAGCCACAGCGGGAACUCCCCAAACCCCCCUUUUCUUUGGCACUUUGAGUCAGAAGGACAGUGAGAGUGGAACUGAGGGGGCUUUGGAGGGGGAGGUCGUGGGGUCAGGAGGGGAGGGAGCAGGGCGUCCCCACUUCUACUCUGCCCCCCAGCUGCCUCUCCUCUAGGGAGCCGAGCGGGGCGGGGAUGGGCCUUUGCUGCAGGCUCCUCUGGGUGGCCUGGCCCGCCCUGCACUGUCCCCACAUUGUCUGCUGUCUCCAGCGAGCCCCAGAAUAGACUCAGUGCCUUCCUCCCUCGCCGCCACAUCCGACAUCGCCAGGCGAUGCCCGUAACGCUCCUGACUGCAGGACCUGCCUCGGUCUUCAGGACACGGCAGCACAAGGACAGUUGUCGGCCGUAGCAGUCAUUUAGUUGAGAUUAUUUUUAGCUUUUUCAUCGAAGUGAAUGGAAGUUUGCUGCUGGAGUGCGAUUAAAACCUGUCUGGCAGUUGUGCUUCUUUCUUUAAGGACAUCUGGCACCGUCCCCUCUCCAGGCCCGUCCACCUUCCCGAUUCUAAAGAGCCAAGCAGAAUUGCCAGUUAAGUCCGGAGUGGUUACUCCAGCUAAUGUAUUCGUUUUAGCUCCAAUAUUUAAUAAAGACGACGAAGACUCCUGCGUGUCUGGUGUAGCCUCCGUACACAGCAGGAUUCGCUUCUGAUGUGUUUUGUAUUUUAGGACUUGGAGUCUGUUUUUUCGAUUGUAAAUGAUCAUGGAGACUACAGUUUUUCCUUGCUGUGUCUGUGACGUACCUGCUACACACGUAUUUAUUUCCCAGUCAGGAUAACAGUCCCCAUAGUAAGCGUUUCUCCUGAGGAGACACACAGAGUCCUUGAUGGCGUCAGAGAGCAGGACUCGUCGUCGCAGGUGUCUUUCUCCCCUGGCCUCGGAGAAGACUAGGACUAGUAGCAUAAGGGUGAGACCUGGCCUCGGGUCUGAGAUCAUCCCUGUUCUUGGGGCUUCGGGGCUGGGCGAGUUCCAGGGCUUCUCUAAGGCAGGCAGGGGCUGGUGUCCCCUGAGGCUGGGACACUGGCCUUGGGUCAGGGCCCAGGGCGCGUCCUCACGGCUGUGAGUACGCUGCUGGUGGAGGGGAGGUAAAGAUGGAGGGACAGCCGGCUCAGAGUAGAGCCACCGGCUUAGGAAGGCAGAGCUGUGAAUCAGAAGUGAAGGGGGAAAUGACGGGGUUUUUUGGGUUUUGUUUUAUUUUUCCCGCUGUCCAGCAUGGGGACCAAGUUACACAUACAUGUAUACAUUCUUUUUCCUCCCAUUGUUCUGUUGUGAUGUAAGUAUCUAGACAUAGUUCUCCAUGCUACACAGCAGGAUCUCAUUGUACAUCCAGUCCAAGAGCAAUAAUUUGCAUCCAUUAACCCCAAACUCCCCAUCCCUCCCACUCCCUCCCUCUCCCCGGGGGCAGCCACAAGUCUGUUCUCUAAGUGCAUGAUUUUCUUUUCUGUGGAAAGGUUCAUUUGUGCCUUAUAUUAGAUUCCAGUUAUAAGUGACAUCCUCUGGUAUUUGUCUUUGUCUUUCUGACUUACUUCGCUCAGUGUGAGAGUCUCUAGUUCCAUCCAUGUUGCUGCAGAUGGCAUUAUGUCGUUCUUUUUUAUGGCUGAGUAGUAUUCCAGAAAAUGAAGUUUUAAGGAAGCACUAGGAUUUGCUUUAGAGAUGCUCAUGUGAGUGGCUGGCCGUUCCCUGGCUCUUAAAGCCAGCGUCAGAAAUUAGUGUGGUUGCUCUUUCCUCACCAGACGUUGGAGACUCACGUGCAGACACCUCCCUGCCUCUUUCAGUGGACUGUCCCCAUUUGAAGAAGGUACCCCCAGAAGUUCCCGCUGUGGCACAGGGGGUUCACGACCCGGCUUGUCUCUGUGGAGACACCAGUUUGAUGGUUUGAUCCCGGGCCCGGCACAGUGGCUUACAGCGCCAGCAUUGCCGCUGCGGUGGCGCAGGUCGAAGCUCUGCUCACAUUCAGUCCCUGCGGGGAACUUCCGUGUGCCUCGGGUCCGGCCAGAAAAGGGGAGAAAAGAUGAGAUACCACAUAGUUCAGUCCUUCUCCGUCAAAGAGCUUUAGUUCUUAGGAAUUUUCUCUCUAGGUGGUUCUGCCGCUUGCUGAUUGUGACAGCAGAAGAGUCUUUCCUCUGUUUAUGUUGAGUUUCUCUCUUUAAGGAUCUUCUGAAUUUUGAUGACCCACUGAACAUCGAGGCUGCAGAGCAUCACUUGCGGGACAAGGAGGACUUCCGCAGCAAGGUGGAGGACUACAUCAAGCGCUUCGCCAGAUGAUAGGCGGGGCCCCCGGCGGGCGGGACACGUCGGAAGGGCGCCUCCCGCCCACGCGCACGGCGAGCCUCCUCCCCUCCGCGCUCCCCGCCCUCCCCCCGGCUCGCCGAGGCCUGGACCACGUGUCCUGAGGCAGCACCUCUCCACGAGCGCCCGUGGUAGAUGGGAGCUCCCGUGCAUACAGCAAGGAAACGUGUUUGGGGUUCUAAAGAGGUGUCUGCUUACCUUACCAUGUUUGCUUUUUUGAAACUGUACUGUAUAGGCUGUGGAUGAGAUUCUCCAAGUUGUGAUGAACUCAGAAUUGAGGCUAGAGCUCGCUUCUCCCCCUGUCCCCAAAGUCGUUCCCUGCACAGGUGACGCUCAUGACGUGCUCAGCGUAACUCGCCGGCCGGCGACCAGAAGCCCGCUACAAACUGUGAUUGGAUGCAGAUUCUCCUGGCGCCUUCCACGCGUGGGGGCCCCGCCUGGAUGGCGGGAGGCUCCCCCGAAGGCAUAGUCAUUCACUGUAGAUCUCUUACCCAAAGGCGUAUUUUAUUUAAUGUAAGUAUAUUUUGGAACAGAUUUGUAAUUUGUACAAUUUAAUGCUUUAAUUAUUUUUUUCUAUUCUCAUUUAGUUUGUAUUUUCAUUGUAUAGAGCAGACAGAAAGAUGUUGAGUCAAGCAACUAUUGAAGAGAAAUACAAAGAAACCAUGAAAGA